UAGCUAGUUGGUGAGGUAAAGGCUUACCAAGGCGACGAUCUGUAGCGGGUCUGAGAGGAUGAUCCGCCACACUGGAACUGAGACACGGUCCAGACUCCUACGGGAGGCAGCAGUGGGGAAUUUUGGACAAUGGGGGCAACCCUGAUCCAGCCAUGCCGCGUGAGUGAAGAAGGCCUUCGGGUUGUAAAGCUCUUUCGGCCGGGAAGAAAUCGCAUGGGCCAAUACCCUGUGUGGAUGACGGUACCGGAAUAAGAAGCACCGGCUAACUACGUGCCAGCAGCCGCGGUAAUACGUAGGGUGCGAGCGUUAAUCGGAAUUACUGGGCGUAAAGCGUGCGCAGGCGGUUUUGUAAGACAGGCGUGAAAUCCCCGGGCUUAACCUGGGAACUGCGUUUGUGACUGCAAGGCUAGAGUACGGCAGCGGGGGGUGGAAUUCCACGUGUAGCAGUGAAAUGCGUAGAGAUGUGGGAACACCAAUGGCGAAGGCAGCCCCCUGGGUCGAUACUGACGCUCAUGCACGAAAGCGUGGGUAGCAAACAGGAUUAGAUACCCUGGUAGUCCACGCCCUAAACUAUGUCAACUAGGUGUUGGGUGGGUAAAACCAUUUAGUACCGUAGCUAACGCGUGAAGUUGACCGCCUGGGGAGUACGGCCGCAAGGUUAAAACUCAAAGGAAUUGACGGGGACCCGCACAAGCGGUGGAUGAUGUGGAUUAAUUCGAUGCAACGCGAAAAACCUUACCUACCCUUGACAUGCCAGGAACUUGCCAGAGAUGGCUUGGUGCCCGAAAGGGAGCCUGGACACAGGUGCUGCAUGGCUGUCGUCAGCUCGUGUCGUGAGAUGUUGGGUUAAGUCCCGCAACGAGCGCAACCCUUGUCGUUAAUUGCCAUCAUUUAGUUGGGCACUUUAACGAGACUGCCGGUGACAAACCGGAGGAAGGUGGGGAUGACGUCAAGUCCUCAUGGCCCUAAUGGGUAGGGCUUCACACGUCAUACAAUGGUCGGUACAAAGGGUUGCCAAGCCGCGAGGCGGAGCCAAUCCCAGAAAGCCGAUCGUAGUCCGGAUUGCAGGCUGCAACUCGCCUGCAUGGAGUCGGAAUCGCUAGUAAUCGUGGAUCAGCAUGUCACGGUGAAUACGUUCCCGGGUCUUGUACACACCGCCCGUCACACCAUGGGAGCGGGUUCCGCCAGAAGUAGGUAGCCUAACCGCAAGGGGGGCGCUUACCACGGCGGGGUUCGUGACUGGGGUGAAGUCGUAACAAGGUAGCCGCAGGGGAACCUGCGGCU
rnacentral:rRNA from 1 species